UACAGAGGGUGCGAGCGUUAAUCGGAAUUACUGGGCGUAAAGGGCGCGUAGGCGGCAAUUCAAGUCAUCUGUGAAAUCUCCGGGCUUAACCCGGAACGGUCAGAUGAUACUGCUUUGCUAGAGUGCGGAAGGGGCAAUCGGAAUUCUUGGUGUAGCGGUGAAAUGCGUAGAUAUCAGGAGGAACACCGGUGGCGAAGGCGGGUCUCUGGGCAACAACUGACGCUGAGGAGCGAAAGCGUGGGGAGCGAACAGG
rnacentral:rRNA from 1 species